AGAGUUUGAUCCUGGCUCAGAGCGAACGCUGGCGGCAGGCUUAACACAUGCAAGUCGAGCGGGCGUAGCAAUACGUCAGCGGCAGACGGGUGAGUAACGCGUGGGAACGUACCUUUUGGUUCGGAACAACACAGGGAAACUUGUGCUAAUACCGGAUAAGCCCUUACGGGGAAAGAUUUAUCGCCGAAAGAUCGGCCCGCGUCUGAUUAGCUAGUUGGUGAGGUAACGGCUCACCAAGGCGACGAUCAGUAGCUGGUCUGAGAGGAUGAUCAGCCACAUUGGGACUGAGACACGGCCCAAACUCCUACGGGAGGCAGCAGUGGGGAAUAUUGGACAAUGGGCGCAAGCCUGAUCCAGCCAUGCCGCGUGAGUGAUGAAGGCCCUAGGGUUGUAAAGCUCUUUUGUGCGGGAAGAUAAUGACGGUACCGCAAGAAUAAGCCCCGGCUAACUUCGUGCCAGCAGCCGCGGUAAUACGAAGGGGGCUAGCGUUGCUCGGAAUCACUGGGCGUAAAGGGUGCGUAGGCGGGUCUUUAAGUCAGGGGUGAAAUCCUGGAGCUCAACUCCAGAACUGCCUUUGAUACUGAGGAUCUUGAGUUCGGGAGAGGUGAGUGGAACUGCGAGUGUAGAGGUGAAAUUCGUAGAUAUUCGCAAGAACACCAGUGGCGAAGGCGGCUCACUGGCCCGAUACUGACGCUGAGGCACGAAAGCGUGGGGAGCAAACAGGAUUAGAUACCCUAGUAGUCC
rnacentral:rRNA from 1 species